AGGAUGAACGCUGGCGGCGUGCUUAACACAUGCAAGUCGAACGAUGAAGGCUGGAGCUUGCUCUGGCUGGAUUAGUGGCGAACGGGUGAGUAACACGUGAGUAACCUGCCCCAGACUCUGGGAUAAGCGCUGGAAACGGCGUCUAAUACCGGAUACCGAGCUUCCACCGCAUGGUGAGGAGCUAGGAAAGAUUUCGGCUGGGAUGGACUCGCGCUAUCAGCUUGUGUGAGUAUGGACUCGACCGAAGGCGACGGACGGUAGCCGGCUAGGA
rnacentral:rRNA from 1 species